rnacentral:rRNA from 1 species
UUACCGCGGCGGCUGGCACCGGUCUUACCCCCCCCUUAUUCCAAGACCUAUUAAGAGUCUAGAAAAGACUGGGUAUUACCCCAGACACUUGGAAUUCCCUCAUCGCGGUUUCCCGCAGUGUGAAGUUUUCGCGCCUGCUGCACCCCGUA